AGGGGAGUGAAAAAGAACCUGAAACCGUGUACGUACAAGCAGUGGGAGCACGCUUAGGCGUGUGACUGCGUACCUUUUGUAUAAUGGGUCAGCGACUUAUAUUCUGUAGCAAGGUUAACCGAAUAGGGGAGCCGAAGGGAAACCGAGUCUUAACUGGGCGUUAAGUUGCAGGGUAUAGACCCGAAACCCGGUGAUCUAGCCAUGGGCAGGUUGAAGGUUGGGUAACACUAACUGGAGGACCGAACCGACUAAUGUUGAAAAAUUAGCGGAUGACUUGUGGCUGGGGGUGAAAGGCCAAUCAAACCGGGAGAUAGCUGGUUCUCCCCGAAAGCUAUUUAGGUAGCGCCUCGUGAAUUCAUCUCCGGGGGUAGAGCACUGUUUCGGCAAGGGGGUCAUCCCGACUUACCAACCCGAUGCAAACUGCGAAUACCGGAGAAUGUUAUCACGGGAGACACACGGCGGGUGCUAACGUCCGUCGUGAAGAGGGAAACAACCCAGACCGCCAGCUAAGGUCCCAAAGUCAUGGUUAAGUGGGAAACGAUGUGGGAAGGCCCAGACAGCCAGGAUGUUGGCUUAGAAGCAGCCAUCAUUUAAAGAAAGCGUAAUAGCUCACUGGUCGAGUCGGCCUGCGCGGAAGAUGUAACGGGGCUAAACCAUGCACCGAAGCUGCGGCAGCGACGCUGAUGCGUUGUUGGGUAGGGGAGCGUUCUGUAAGCCUGCGAAGGUGUGCUGUGAGGCAUGCUGGAGGUAUCAGA
rnacentral:rRNA from 1 species